rnacentral:snoRNA from 1 species
UUCAAAUGAUGUGAACAUUAUACUGUGUCUUCAAGGUCUUCGUGAUCGAUGUGAGCACAAAAUUAUAGACUACAACGGUAUCUGAAA